rnacentral:rRNA from 1 species
UGCAGCCACCAUACCUCAAGCUGUGAUCUUGUCAGAGCUCAUAAGCAAAGCAGAGCCAGGCAGGUGAGGCAGCAG